GGAGGAAGCUCGAGGACAAAUGCCGCGGGCCACACCGAGCCUUCGGUGGAGGUUGGUGGUUCCAGCAGACUCUCAGCCACUCACCCGCCCAGUUUUCUAGUUUUCCCCGCUGGCCUCGAUUUCUCACACAUGAAGCAGGGUGCAAUCCGACACGGACACUUCCUGUCAAGGAUAAAAAUUUUGAAGAUGAAGCAAUGACUCAGGUCUGGAAGCUCGGCCCAGGACUCCUCAAGCAUCCUAGAGAACUUGUUGAGGUGCAGUUUCCCAAGCUCCACCCUAGACAGCCUGAGAUGCCCUCAGAUUCUAAGAAGCAGUCACGUAGACAAGCUCCCUGGAUUUAGCAGCAGCCUCCUCCAGAUACAUCCAACGCUAGGAAGUCAAGGCAAAUGACGCCAACACGCCCCACCUUCUCCACAGCUGUCCCUUGAGGUCCAAGCCCUGUUUGCAAAAUGGGGCCCGUGGCUCCCCAGGCCUGAGAUUCUCAGGCUCCAGGAACUCCAGGAACUCCUCUGGAAGGCACACACCGGCCCCCCAAGGUCACGGAUCUCCUCUUGGGCCCUCCCAGGCCUUUUUUUUCCCCCAGGCCCUAAUUCUGACGCAGCCAGUUGUGUGGCUGGUGCUGGAGGCCUUGCUCUGGCCUGUGUGAUGAGCGCAUAAAGCGCCAGUGACAACACAGGUUUCGGGUUGGGUGCACUGCUUGCCAUCUACUGACAAC